GUGUCAGCCGCCGCGGUAAGACGUAGGGACCGAGCGUUGUCCGGAUUCAUUGGGCGUAAAGCGCGCGCAGGCGGCUACGCAGGUCGGGUGUGAAAACCAGAGGCUCAACCUCUGGCCUGCACCCGAAACCGCGUGGCUAGAGGCAGGUAGGGGAGAUCGGAAUUCCUGGUGUAGCGGUGAAAUGCGCAGAUAUCAGGAGGAACACCGGUGGCGAAGGCGGAUCUCUGGGCCUGUCCUGACGCUGAGGUGCGAAAGCUAGGGGAGCAAACAGGAUUAGAAACCCUUGUAGUCC
rnacentral:rRNA from 1 species